GACGAACGCUGGCGGCGUGCUUAACACAUGCAAGUCGAACGGAAAGGCCCUUCGGGGUACUCGAGUGGCGAACGGGUGAGUAACACGUGGGUGAUCUGCCCUGCACUUUGGGAUAAGCCUGGGAAACUGGGUCUAAUACCGAAUAGGACCACGCGCUUCAUGGUGUGUGGUGGAAAGCUUUUGCGGUGUGGGAUGGGCCCGCGGCCUAUCAGCUUGUUGGUGGGGUAAUGGCUUACCAAGGCGACGACGGGUAGCCGGCCUGAGAGGGUGACCGGCCACACUGGGACUGAGAUACGGCCCAGACUCCUACGGGAGGCAGCAGUGGGGAAUAUUGCACAAUGGGCGCAAGCCUGAUGCAGCGACGCCGCGUGAGGGAUGACGGCCUUCGGGUUGUAAACCUCUUUCAAUAGGGACGAAGCGCAAGUGACGGUACCUAUAGAAGAAGCACCGGCCAACUACGUG
rnacentral:rRNA from 1 species